AAUGUCAAAAUAUUGUUUUAUUUUCUACAUAAUUCCUUUAAAGCCGUAAAAUACAGGAAAAGAUAAUCAAAUCAAUUAUGACGUCAUAAUGGUUCUAACACCAAAAGGACAGUAUAGAAUCAUUUACUAUAUAGAUCUUGAUCAAUAUACAAACUAAUAAAAAAAAGUUACGAGUUCGUGUAAAGAUUAAUUCUCGGGGAUCAGUAGGUAGACAUCAUAUUCAUUAUUACUUUUUUUCAUCAAUCUUCCUGUUCGUAUACUAGUUUAGUGUGUUUGGCACAAUUUUGAAAUCUAUGGAAUUCUACAACAAAAUGGCGGAAAUUAAGGAAAAAGCGAAAUAAUAUAAAAAAAAUUAAGUACUUCCGCAUAUUUACUUUGAUGACUUCAUUUUGAGGUAUAUUAUAUUUUAUAUCAUAUCAUUCCGUUACUUGAAACUGCACAAUGUUUUCACUUCCUUCUUUGUCUCAGUAAACGUCUUAGGAACCCUAGAUUAAAGCUGAUAAAUCCUAUAGUAGAACAAAAACUACUCUGUAAACGAACAUUUGUCCCAAUAAUUGGAAGGUAAAUUUAAAAAAAAUUAGAUAUUCGCCAACGUUUACAUGAAUUCCAAUGUAUUGGGGGGGGGGGGGGGGGGGGUAUUUUUGUGUGUGUGUUUUGUUUUUGUUUUAAAUUUGUUUCUUUAUUUGUUUCUUUUGUUUUUUAUUUCUUUUUGUUAUGAUUAAGAAUAAAAUAAACCCUUGUGUUAUUAUAAAUAUUUAACGUUUGUAUUAUUUUACAAAAUUCGAGAUGAAUAUUACGGAAGUGAAAUGAAAUGAGCUUUUUCUGUUCCCACUUCUAAGCCACAUUUUUGUAUAUAGUAUCUUUGUGAAGAAAUUGUAUAAAAUGUAAAUGCAUGUUUAAAGCAUCCCGUCAUGUUUCACGUUUCAAUUUAUUAUAAUAAAAAAUAAAAUUGAUUCCAUUGCAAAACUAUUUU
rnacentral:sRNA from 1 species